rnacentral:lncRNA from 1 species
GGUAUUUUGCCCAAAUAGUUAUUAUUCCUAAAAAGACAUUCAUCUAUUGAUUUUCCAGGUGCAUCUGGGGCAUUGUCAAUGUCACCUGGCACAUUAAGCAUUGGACAAUGCUACUCUUUUAAGAAGAGAGAAUUAAUAGACCUGUGAUUUCAUUGGACAGAGAACUCCCUACUGUUGAAACUCCUUCAAAUUCAGUCUGUAGGACCCAAGAUCAAUAUUGAGAGAGAGAUGAGCAAAAACCUAUGGAGAGAGCCCAUGGAUACCAUUCCUGGGUUUAUUUACCAAGAAGUUCAG